GGCUGGUAGGAGCAUGAGCUGAGGCCCGCUCUCCACAGGCCACCCUGAGGGACCCCACCUGUGCACAAAUUCAUGCACCGGGCCUCUA